AUCAUUUUCCAAAAAAAAGUCCUCAUCAAUCUCAUUAAAAUAUGAGAGGAGUUACUUUUAAUAAUGGAGGAAAGAGAAGAAGCACAAUGUGUACACGUUUCUCACUUUGAUAGUUAUUUUUUUCUCAUUUUUCUAAACUAAAUGAAUGCAAGUUCUGACAACUUCUUCCAUUUCUCAAAAAGUAAAUAAGAACCUCUUUCCUUUUCCUCUUCAUUGAAGAACAUCCUCAAUAUUCCUUUUUUUAAUGAAGAAAACAGUAUGUCUUAUGAUGCUGCAGAGUAAAAAAAAAUUAGCAGUAUUAGGGAUUUAUACAUCUCAAGAACAAAUUCGACCUAAUCUUCUUCAUUCGAUUUUCACGGAAGAGUAGAAAGGAGAAAUCAAAAGAAAAAAAAUCACAAAUCCAAAAGAAUUUUAAAAAGUUACGGAUCUAUAAUCGGAUCCAUGGCGUAAUGAUAGCGCGUCUGAUUCUAGAUCUGAAGGUUGCAUGUUCGAUUCACUUCGAGUCCAAAAUAUCAUCUACAUUCGGUUAUGAUUUUCUUUAACAAGACAACACCAAGGAAUUCAAACCAUAAAGAUCUUAAGGCCACAGGGACGUGUUUGGAAGACUCUUGUUGAGCUCUAACUAGAGCAAUACCACAUAUGGAUGAUAGGUUAGAGCCCACGAAAGAAUGGCAUAAAGAAUAUAAAGUCUUUUUAGGUUAUUUUUCAAAUAACACUUUAGGCUUAUUUGUAAUAGGUUAUUUAUGUGAAGACAAAUUCUAUAAGUAAGUGCCUUAGCCAUUUCAUUUCCUUAGUUUUUGAUGAAUAUUGAUGUUAUGAAACUCUUGAGAGAGUGUAACUUUAAAAAGUUUAUGUUGAUUCUGGUUUAGAAAUGGUGGUUGUGAGGGCGUCUCGAUUCCCUUAAGAUCUCCGUGAGAGAAUUGGUGCUUUGUAGGUAUUUCAGUAGAGGUAUUUCGAUUUAGUGUACCUAUUAAUUUCGUUAAUUUUUCUCUUUGUCUCAUUCUAUCUUUCCUUUAUUCUCUUGCCUUGUUAUCUUAGCCUGUGCUUGUGCUUUUCAUACUUUAUUUCAACAACAACAACAACAAACCCAGUGUAUUCCCACAUAGUGAGGUCUGGAAAGGGUAAGAUGUACGCAGUCCAUACCACUACCUCCGGAGAAGUAGCAAGGUUGUUUCCGAUAGACCCCGGCUCAAGAUAAGAUAAGUCAUAAAAAAUGUACACAAAGCAUGGAAUAAUAUGACAUGACAUAAAUAUGCCACCUGUAAGGAGUAGUAAACAAAGAAUAGUAAGCAAUCGUAAGGCAGCAUAACAAAAAUACUGCACCGGCCAAGUAAAACCCUAUCCUACCUACCGAAAAAGUUACUAGCCUUCUAUCCUAAUACGCAUCCUCCAGAUCUUCCUAUUUAGGGUCAUGUCCUCAGUAAGCUGUAACUGCUCCAUGUCCCUCAUAAUCACUACUCUCCAGUAUUUCUUCGGCCUACCCCUGUCCUGCCUGGAACCAUCCAAGCAAGUCUCUCACUCCUACGAAUCGGAGCAUUCGUGCCCCUCCUCAUCACAUGUUCGAACCAUCUCAAACGAACCUUCCGCAUCUUGUCCUCCAUCAAAGCCACACCAACCUUAUCUCAAAUAGUCUCAUUUCGAACCCUAUCCCCCUAGUAAGCCCACACAUCCAGCGCAACAUCCACAUUUCCGUCACCUUUAGUUUUUGAAUGUGAGAGUUCUGGAUAGGCCAACACUCCGCUCCAUACAACAUGGCCGGACGGACUGCUACCCUAUAAAAUUUUCCUUUAAGCUUGGGCGGCACCUUCUUAUCACACAACACCCCCGAGGCAAGCUUCUACUUCAUCCAUCCCGCCCCAACCCGGUGAGGGACAUCCUCCCCAAUCUCACCAUUCCCCUGAAUCAUGACCCCUAAGUACUUAAAACUAUCUCUCUUACACACCACCUGAGAAUCCAACCUUACUACCACCUCCCUCGAGACAUUAAACUUAUAUUCCACAUAUUCGGUCUUCCUCCUACUUAACCUGAACCAUGUAGACUCAAGGAUUUGUCUCCACACCUCUAAUUUAUCAUUCACUCCCCACCGAGUCUCGUCAAUCAAAACCACAUCGUCUGUCAAAAACAUACACUAGGGCACCUCACCUUGGAUACGCCGCGUCAACACAUCCAUAACCAAAGCAAACAAAAACGGGCUAAAGAGUAGAUCCCUGAUGCAACCCUGUCAAGAUCGGGAAAUAUUUUGAAUCGCCUCCCGCCGUCCUCACCUAGGUCUUAGCUCCAUCAUACAUGUCCUUGAUCGCUCUAGUAUAUGCCACCGGACCUCACUCACCUCCAAGUAUCUCCAAAGGACUUUCCUAUGCCUUCUCUAAAUCGAUAAACACUAUGUGCAGGUCCUUCUUCCUUUCCCUGUACUGUUUCACUAGUCUCCGCACUAGGUGAAUUGCCUCUAUCGUCGAGCACCCAGGCAUAAAUCCAAACUGGUUCUCCGAAAUAGAUACAAUCUUCCUCAACCUCCACUCGACCACUCUCUCCCAAAUCUUUAUCGUGUGGCACAAUAACUUAAUACCCCUAUAGUUGUUGCAACUCUGAAUGUCAUCUUUAUUUUUAUACAGAGGGAUCAUAGUACUCCAUCUCCAGGCCUCAGGCAUUUUCGCCGACUUGAAAAUGUCGUUGAACAAAUCCGUCAACCACCUCAAACUAGCCUCGCCAGAAAACUUUUAAAAAUCCACGGGGAUCUCAUUAGGCCCCAUCGCCCUACCCCUUCGCAUCCUGCGAACGACCUCUUUGACCUCUUCCACCUUAAAACAUCUACAAUAACUAAAAUCACGACAGUCCUCCGAAUGCUCCAUCUCACCCAAAUCAAAACCUUCCUCCCCUUCAUCAUUCAAAAGCCUAUGAAAAUACGACUGCCAUAUUUUCUUAAUAUGACCAUCCUUCACCAACAUUCUACCAUCCUCCCCCUUAAUGCACUUCACCUGGUCUAGGUCACUGCCCUUUCUCUCUCUAGCCUUAGCCAGUCUAAACAACUUUUUUUCCCCUCCUUUCUCUUCUAACCCCAUAUACAAGCUCUCAAAUGCUGCCGUCUUAGCUGCCGUAACGACAAGCUUAGCCUCCUUCCUUGCUAGCUGGUACUCCUCCCUAAAAACCCGCUUCUCUUCAUCAUCUUUAUUCUCAACCAACUUUGCAUACGCCCCCUUCUUAUUCUCCACUUUCUUCUUUACUUCAUCAUUCCACCACCAAUCCCCCCUAUGGUGCCCGGCCUGGCCCCUAGACACACCCAAAACCUCACUAGCAGUCUCCUUGAUGCACCUAUCUGCCCUAUCCCACCUACCAUCUAUGUCUCCCCUAUGCUCCCAUACCCCCAUACCAGUCAACUUCUCCCUUAUCUCCCACACAUUCACCGGCGUUAAGCUGCCCCACCUAAUUCUCGGUCGGCCCUCCUCACCCGUACUCUUCUUACCCUUCUUUAUUCCCAAGUCCAUUUCCAAGAGCCUAUGCCGAGUCAAAAGAUUUUCACUCAAAAUAACCUUACAAUCCUUACACCACCCUCUAUCCCCUUUCUUAAGAAGCAAAAAGUCAAUUUGGGUCUUGGCUAUUGCGCUUUGGAAGGUGAUCAAGUGAUCGUCCUUCUUUGGAAAGCUCAAAUUCAUCACCACCAGCCCAAAGGACCUCGAAAAUUCCAACAGAGCAACCCCCUCUUCAUUUCUCUCCCCAAAACCAAAACCACUAUGCACAUCGCCAAAGCCUCCCGGAAAUCCCCGAUGUAUCCAUUAAAAUCCCCUGCUACAACAAUCUUCUCAGAGCUAGGCACGUCUCUAACCACCUCAUCCAAGUCCUUCCGAAACCGCAUCUUCUCCUCCCCACCCAAGUCCACCUGCGGUGCAUACACACUACACACGUUUAGGGUAAACCCCUCAAAAACUAUCUUAAUAGACAUCAGCCUAUCACUAAUCCUCUUCACCUCCACUACCCUCCCUCUAAGCUCUUUAUCUACUAAGAUGCCAACUUUAUUCCUACGCCUCUUACUUCCAGAGUACUAAACCUUGUAACCAUCCACAUCCCUAGCCUUAGACCCUACCCACUUAGUGUCCUGGACACACGCCAUAUUGAUCCUCCUCUUUCUAAGAAUCUUUACCAGCUCUAUGGACUUUCCCUGGAGAGUUCCUAUAUUUCAAGAGCCAACCUUCAGCCUAUCAACUCUAGCGACACGCCCUCCUCUACCGCCCUUAACACCAGACCUAGCUCCUACUCCCCCACCUGCCCUACUCUCGUCCCCCACCCCCAACACCGCCCCCGCCCUGACCCCAAUCCCUUUGGAUAUGACCCUAUUCUACCAUCAACAACCACAACCACUACACCAAAAAAAUAACAACCGCGAUAGUAAUAACAACAAUAGGGAAUACAAAGCAAUGAAAGAAAAAACAAGGCACACACGACGUAGAUGUAAUGAACAAGCAAUAGUCAAUCCCACAAAUUAGAAGCGUUCAGGAGAUGAAAUAAUCAGGAAAAGUAGACGAGCAGGAUAAUGCACAGAAAAUAAGUUGUCGGAAGUAGCUAAAGUACAAAACAACAGAAGGAAAAUACAAAGCAA